GACGAACGCUGGCGGCGUGCUUAACACAUGCAAGUCGAACGGAAAGGCCCUGCUUUUGUGGGGUGCUCGAGUGGCGAACGGGUGAGUAACACGUGAGUAACCUGCCCUUGACUUUGGGAUAACUUCAGGAAACUGGGGCUAAUACCGGAUAGGAGCUCCUGCUGCAUGGUGGGGGUUGGAAAGUUUCGGCGGUUGGGGAUGGACUCGCGGCUUAUCAGCUUGUUGGUGGGGUAGUGGCUUACCAAGGCUUUGACGGGUAGCCGGCCUGAGAGGGUGACCGGCCACAUUGGGACUGAGAUACGGCCCAGACUCCUACGGGGGGCAGCAGUGGGGAAUAUUGCACAAUGGGCGGAAGCCUGAUGCAGCAACGCCGCGUGCGGGAUGACGGCCUUCGGGUUGUAAACCGCUUUCGCCUGUGACGAAGCGUGAGUGACGGUCAUGGGUAAAGAAGCACCGGCUCACUACGUGC
rnacentral:rRNA from 1 species